rnacentral:misc_RNA from 1 species
GUGAUAUGUGGCCGCAACAAAAAGUUGGCCAACAGAUUGCUUUCGAUUGAUUGGAAGAUUCCUGUCCAGGUGAAGGGGUUUGUCACCAAAAUGGAGGAAUGUAUGGGUGCUUGUGACUGCAUUAUAACAAAGGCUGGCCCUGGGACAAUUGCAGAAGCAAUGAUACGAGGUCUCCCUAUAAUCUUGAAUGAUUACAUUGCUGGCCAAGAAGUAGGGAACGUGCCUUAUGUGGUGGAAAAUGGAUGUGGGAAAUUUUC